CUCUCUGGAGGAAAUAUACAAUCAGAUGAGGUAGUUCUGCUUUCAGUAAUAAUAUGAUUUACAUUUCUAUAGGAGGAUAGUGAAUGAUACCUACAGAACGGAUCUUUGCCUACUGUAUCCUCCUUUCAUGAUAGCUUUAGCUUGCCUACAUGUAGCCUGUGUUGUACAGCAGAAAGAUGCCAGGCAAUGGUUUGCUGAGCUUUCUGUGGAUAUGGAAAAGAUUUUGGAAAUAAUCAGGGUUAUUUU
rnacentral:ncRNA from 2 species